rnacentral:lncRNA from 1 species
GCCUCGGGCCAGGCUGGGAGGCAGGAGGAGCUGGAGGUCAGCCGCAGAUGCUGGUGCUGGUCUGGGCCCCUCAUGGACGGGAGCCCACGUUAGCUUCUCCAGCUGCAGCCAGGGCGAGAGAGGCUGUGCUCAGUCUGCUGGUGGCUGCCUGGGAAGCGGCCACAGGCUGCUGCUGAGCUGAGCUGAGCUGAGCUGAGCUGAGCUGGUAGCUUUUGCAAGGGGCUGGAUUCUCAGCUGGAAAACCCUCAGCCUUUUUUUUUUUUUUUUUUUUUUGUGGAGAGAGAGGAGAGGGUUGUCUCUUCUUGCACGAUCUGGGGCUGGGCGUCAUCUCCUUUCUGAUUUUAAGUAGUUCUGUCCAUGAGCACUGACUUCCAGGUGGUCAUUAAGGGAAUCGAGUGCUCCCCACGCUGGAGACAAGGAAGGAUGACAGCUUCUGAGAGCUACUGGUGACAGCUCGGAGGCCCCUAUCCCGUUCAAAAUGCCUUUUAAAGCGUUCGAUACCUUCAGAGAGAAAAUUCUGAAACCUGGCAAGGAAGGCGUGAAGAAUGCUGUAGGAGAUUCACUGGGCAUUUUACAAAGAAAACUUGAUGGGACCAACGAGGAAGAAGACAACAUAGAGCUGAACGAGGAGGGGAGGCCCGUGCAGGCGUCCAGGCCGGCCCGCCCGCUCUGUGACUGCCCCUGCUGCGGGGUCCCGAAGCGCUACAUCAUCGCCAUCAUGAGUGGGCUGGGCUUCUGCAUUUCCUUCGGGAUUCGGUGCAACCUUGGCGUGGCCAUCGUGGAAAUGGUCAACAACAGCACUGUCUAUGUAGAUGGGAAACCAGAAAUUCAGACAGCACAGUUUAACUGGGAUCCAGAGACAGUGGGCCUUAUCCAUGGAUCUUUUUUCUGGGGCUAUAUUGUGACGCAAAUCCCAGGUGGUUUCAUUUCAAACAAGUUUGCUGCUAACAGGUAAGGU